UCAGCAGGGAAAGAAAUCUCUCUUGAGUUUGUCAGUCUGGCUUAGUGAAGAGGGGUAGGACAAGAGGGAGAACCAAGUCCCAUAUCCUCCUCUCCCCUCAAUGAAAGGAUUGCAUUAAGUGGCCUAUUGACUUCAUGGGCUUCCAGUAAAAUGCCACUACACUUUAUACACUUCAGUAAUUUCACUGACCCAGUAAUAUGGGAGGAGCUCUUGAUUCUGGCACAAUGCACUCAGUCACACAAUAGGUAGUAUCUGCUCUUAUGGCAGUACCAAGAGGGAGAUUGACUUAGGGGAAUUCGCAUGACAGAUGGUACUGAAGGAAUCCUAAAGCAAAUUUAGGAAGGAAAGAAAACUCUGUGGAGCAGAAUGGUAAAAACUUGAUUGAUCUUGAUUUCCAGGAAAAAUACAGACUAUGAGAAAGGAAUAUCUUCCUGAAAUCCGGCUCUUAAACAGAAUGUGUCAGAGAGGUUACCACAAGGGUAACUGCAAGGCCUUCAUAGUGAGGUUGCUUUUUGAUCCUCUGAUGUGAACAGCUCUUCCUGUCAUAGGACUCUGGUGUUGAAAUACUCUAAUGA
rfam:Dipodomys ordii contig_9010, whole genome shotgun sequence.